rnacentral:rRNA from 1 species
UCUACGGGUGGCAGCAGUGAGGAAUAUUGGUCAAUGGACGCAAGUCUGAACCAGCCAUGCCGCGUGCAGGAAGACGGCUCUAUGAGCUGUAAACUGCUUUUGUACGAGGGUAAAUCCCGAUACGUGUAUCGGGUUGAAAGUAUCGUACGAAUCAGGAUCGGCCAACUACGGGCCAGCGGCCGCGGUAAUACGGAGGUAUCAAGCGUUAUCCGGAUUUAUUGGGUUAAAAGGGUGCGUAGGCGGUUCGGUAAGUUAGAGGUGAAAUCCCGGGGCUCAACUCCGGCACUGCCUCUGAUACUGUCGGGCUAGAGGUUAGUUGCGGUAGGCGGAAUGUAUGGUGUAGCGGUGAAAUGCAUAGAGAUCAUACGGAACACCGAUUGCGAAGGCAGCUUACCAAACUACGACUGACGUUGAGGCACGAAGGCGUGGGGAGCAAACAGGAUUAGAUACCCGAGUAGUC